UGCUUUUCUUGGGAGAAAAGGGG
rnacentral:piRNA from 1 species